rnacentral:rRNA from 1 species
CAAGCGUUGUCCGGAAUCAUUGGGCGUAAAGAGCGCGUAGGCGGCCCUGUAAGUCCGCUGUGAAAGUCAAGGGCUCAACCCUUGAAUGCCGGUGGAUACUGCAGGGCUAGAGUCCGGAAGAGGCGAGUGGAAUUCCUGGUGUAGCGGUGAAAUGCGCAGAUAUCAGGAGGAACACCGAUGGCGAAGGCAGCUCGCUGGGACGGUACUGACGCUGAGGCGCGAAAGCGUGGGGAGCAAACAGG